CCUACGGGAGGCUGCAGUGGGGAAUAUUGCGCAAUGGGCGAAAGCCUGACGCAGCGACGCCGCGUGAGGGAUGACGGUCUUCGGAUCGUAAACCUCUGUCAGCAGGGAAGAACGGUCACUGUGCUAAUCAGCAGUGAAUUGACGGUACCUGCAAAGGAAGCACCGGCUAACUCCGUGCCAGCGGCCGCGGUAAUGCGGAGGGUGCGGGCGUUAAUCGGAAUUACUGGGCGUAAAGCGCUCGUAGGCGGUAUGUCAAGUCAAGGGUGAAAUCCCCGGGCUCAACGUGGGAACUGCCUUUGAAACUGGCAAACUGGAGUGUGUGAGAGGAUAGUGGAAUUCCAGGUGUAGGGGUGAAAUGCGUAGAUAUCUGGAGGAACAUCAGUGGCGAAGGCGAGUAUCUGGCACAUAACUGACGCUGAGGAGCGAAAGCGUGGGUAGCAAACAGGAUUAGAUACCCCUGUAGUC
rnacentral:rRNA from 1 species